AUGGCCAUACCAUGUACUAAAUAUACUGGUUCUCGUUAGAUCACCGAAGUCAAGCAUCAUUGGGCGCGGUCAGUACUUGGGUGGGUGACCACCUUGGAAACACCGCGUGCCGU
rnacentral:rRNA from 1 species